rnacentral:rRNA from 1 species
CAUGCAAGUCGAACGAGCGAGAGGAGGUUUACUUUCUCAAGCGAGUGGCGAACGGGUGAGUAACGCGUGAGGAACCUGCCUCAAAGAGGGGGACAACAGUUGGAAACGACUGCUAAUACCGCAUAAGCCCACGACCCGGCAUCGGGUAGAGGGAAAAGGAGCAAUCCGCUUUGAGAUGGCCUCGCGUCCGAUUAGCUGGUUGGUGAGGUAACGGCCCACCAAGGCGACGAUCGGUAGCCGGACUGAGAGGUUGAACGGCCACAUUGGGACUGAGACACGGCCCAGACUCCUACGGGAGGCAGCAGUGGGGAAUAUUGCACAAUGGGGGAAACCCUGAUGCAGCGACGCCGCGUGGAGGAAGAAGGUCUUCGGAUUGUAAACUCCUGUUGUUGAGGAAGAUAAUGACGGUACUCAACAAGGAAGUGACGGCUAACUACGUGCCAGCAGCCGCGGUAAAACGUAGGUCACAAGCGUUGUCCGGAAUUACUGGGUGUAAAGGGAGCGCAGGCGGGAAGACAAGUUGGAAGUGAAAUCCAUGGGCUCAACCCAUGAACUGCUUUCAAAACUGUUUUUCUUGAGUAGUGCAGAGGUAGGCGGAAUUCCCGGUGUAGCGGUGGAAUGCGUAGAUAUCGGGAGGAACACCAGUGGCGAAGGCGGCCUACUGGGCACCAACUGACGCUGAGGCUCGAAAGUGUGGGUAGCAAACAGGAUUAGAUACCCUGGUAGUCCACACUGUAAACGAUGAUUACUAGGUGUUGGAGGAUUGACCCCUUCAGUGCCGCAGUUAACACAAUAAGUAAUCC